ACCUGACUGCUAUCGGAUUGAUACUAAGCCAUGCGAGUCAUUGUAGCAAUACAAGGCAGACGGCUCAGUAACGCGUAGUCAACCUAACCUAUGGACGGGAAUAACCUCGGGAAACUGAGAAUAAUGCCCGAUAGAACACUAUACCUGGAAUGGUUUGUGUUCCAAAUGAUUUAUCGCCGUAGGGUGGGACUGCGGCCUAUCAGUUUGUUGGUGAGGUAAUGGCCCACCAAGACUAUUACAGGUACGGGCUCUGAGAGGAGUAGCCCGGAGAUGGGUACUGAGACACGGACCCAGGCCCUAUGGGGCGCAGCAGGCGAGAAAACUUUGCAAUGUGCGAAAGCACGACAAGGUUAAUCCGAGUGGUUUGUGCUAAACAGACCUUUUGUUAGUCCUAGAAACACUAACGAAUAAGGGGUGGGCAAGUUCUGGUGUCAGCCGCCGCGGUAAAACCAGCACCUCAAGUGGUCAGGAUGAUUAUUGGGCCUAAAGCAUCCGUAGCCGGCUCUGUAAGUUUUCGGUUAAAUCUGUAUGCUCAACAUACAGGCUGCCGGGAAUACUGCAGAGCUAGGGAGUGGGAGAGGUAGACGGUACUCGGUAGGAAGGGGUAAAAUCCUUUGAUCUAUUGAUGACCACCUGUGGCGAAGGCGGUCUACCAGAACACGUCCGACGGUGAGGGAUGAAAGCUGGGGGAGCAAACCGGAUUAGAUACCCGGGUAGUCCCAGCUGUAAACUAUGCAAACUCAGUGAUGCAUUGGCUUGUGGUCAAUGCAGUGCUGCAGGGAAGCCGUUAAGUUUGCCGCCUGGGAAGUACGUACGCAAGUAUGAAACUUAAAGGAAUUGGCGGGGGAGCACCACAAGGGGUGAAGCCUGCGGUUC
rnacentral:rRNA from 2 species